AAGAGUAUCUCCUUUCAUUCUCUGAAUAGCCCGUUAAUGAUGAUAUGCUCUUUUUGGUUGAAGAUCAAUCUUCUCUGGGCACAGCGAGGUCGAGAACAUAUCAGACCUCACAUAACUUAUGAGUAGUGAAGCUGGGACUUGCACUCAAACAAUCUGAUUCUAAAGCUCAUACUUGAACACUGCCCUGUAUGUACCUCAUUUAACCCUCCCAACCCUGAGACCUAGGUACCAUUAUUAUCGGUUCUGUUUUCCAAACGAGAAACCGGAAGCUCAGGAAAGCACUCUUCCUAACAGACACUAAAUGCAGACCAGAAUUCUGUGAUCCUGGGCAUGUCACUUCAUCCAUCCCCCCAUUGUCUGUCCUUCAUUAUUAGUUCAACAGGCAGUGGCAAGUGUUUAUUCUGUCUGAGGGAUCGUCUUGUCCCUAAAGAUGAAAAGACGUAUAAAAUAUGGCCCCUGCUCUUCAAGAACCUGUAAUCCAGAGAGGGAGGAGAACGCCUCUACAAUAAGAAACACGGUUGCGGUGUGUGAGGCGCUCUAAGAGGUAUGCGUGAAGAGCUGUAGGAACCCAGAGGAGAAAGCAUCACGCUACCUGGUGAAGUAACCAAGGAAGGCCUAGAGAGGAAGGGACGUUGUACUGUAACUCUUCGCUCCCCGGAUAGAAAAGGGAGGGUGGUACUUGAAGCAGAGAGACCAUCAAAGGCAAAAAAGUAGUAUAGGAUAAGAACAGCUCAGAUGCUGGUGCCUUCCGAGGCGUUCACUUCCAUCUCUAUAAUCUCCACAACAGCUCUGAGUGGGUAUUAUCAUUCAUGGGCACACAGAGGGCUUGCCUACGUGCCUGUGAACUCAUAGGAGCCUGUCCAUGAUCACGCAGCUAAUAAGGAAUCAAGCUGGGGUUCAAUCCCAGGCUGUCUGGCUUCGGAACCCACACCCUUAGCCACUCUGCUCGGAGUGUUUGGGGUCACCGGCCAGUAGCUGUUCAUGGGGUGUUAGAGGCAAUGGGGCGGGCCACAUGAGCAGGAAGUAGGUCCAAAGUGUCUUCCUUUCUUCAUAAGGCCUUAGCUGUUCUUGAUCCAAAGACCCUGGACCUCUUGGGAUUCAUAAAAAUAAUAAUGCCAUUGGUGUGUGUGUGUGUGUGUGUGUGUGUGUGCGCCCAUGGGUAAGUGCAUGCUGGGGAGGGGCCUCCACCUCUCUCUAUAUGGAUGCUGUACAGAGGAACUGAUACAUCAACUUUACUUGCUAUUGACUGGAACGCUAUCUGCUUACUGUAGAAAUAUUGUGUGUCUUAUACUCUGUGGAAUUCUCUUGGCUUCAGUGUCAGUGUUUGAAUCCUUGUUCCUUUUCUGCACUUCCAUGCCCGACUAGAAAGCCCAGAAGGACAGAGCUCUUGUCCACCUUCUUUUCCACCAUCCCCUAUGACAUAGCAUAGAGCCUGGCACAUGCCAGUUAUUCAAUAAAUAUUCGUUGAGUGAAUGAUUAUUCGCUGAAUGAACUCUGUAUGUAGUGUGCAAAUGAGUUAAUUAUGAGUUAACAAAUCUAGUUUGGUCAAUAAAAUAUCUUUGGCUAGUUAAUCGAUGGUGUAGGAGGGAAAAGCAUGAGGGCCUUUCGAAGAUGGAAAAUGUAGAAAUUAUUGGCCUAGGUCAUUGGCUCAUAAAAGGAAGCUGCACUUUUGUAAAAGUUUGCCUUCAGGAUUAGAUAAAUCCAACAAGUUUGGAUUCAGUGGGUGUGAGGUGGUGCUUGGGCUUCCCAGGUGAUUCUGGAGGGACCAGGCCAGUAUGUGGGUAUGGCAGUGUGAAUCCCCUCCUGUUCUGUUUCUUUUUUCUUUUUUCCCGUCUCGUUCAACUUUUGCUUGAACACUUUGAGCCGUGGGAGCUAACUACCUCACAAAGCAGGCUGCCCCCACGACAACAGCAACAACAGCAACGAAGACAUCGAUACAGUGACCCUAUAUACUGAGCACUUCUUACGUGUUAAGCACUACACAUAUGUUACCGAAUCCAAAGGCCAGGCAUUAUUUAUCCCCAUUUUACAGUGCAAGCAACUGAAACUGGAGUUCAGUGGUUUGUUCAGUGUCUCAGAGGUGGUGAGGGGCAGGCUUGUCUGGCCAUGUGCUUCCCCAGGGCCCUGAGCUGGUCCCUGGUGGUGGUGGUGGAGGCGGGGGUGGGCCUAACUCCCGGGGAGGAGGCCGAGGGGAGCCUGCCACAUCCGCAGGCCCUGCCCAGGCUCCAGACUCUGCUCCGCCCAGCUCUCUGAUCCUCCCCAUAGAAGGUAAACCCAGGCAGGAUCCCAGGAGGCCUGGCCGGCCUGGUGUCUUGCUGGUUUCAGUUUCUGAAGAGCCCAGCCCUGAGCAAACACAGGCGGGGGAGGAGGGUUCUGGAAGCCUUCCCAACAGAUAGCAGAUUAACUCCCUGCUGCCUGGGAGACACCCACGGGGGAAGGGCUGGGUUACCAGCCUGCAGCCUCACAGCCCUCACAGGCGGGCAGGACACUGCUGGCUUGCCGGGGGCCACCUGAAGCCUGAGAAGGCACACACCCACCUGCCAAGACGCCAUGACUUCUGGGCAGCUCAAGGUUCCAGUUCAAGCCAGGCUCUCCCUGGGACCUCUGGGCUUGGGGAGAAAAGGCUGAGGGGCCUCCCCAACCCCACCCUCCAAAUAUGGACUCAUCUUCCUGCCUCAGCGGGGCCCCUUCCCUCCCUCACUAGGGCGUUCCUGUUCCAACGUGUUAGCAAACCCCUUCCAAUGUUUGUUUUCUUUCUGAGAAAGAGGCUGAGGGACUUUGCCAAGACCAACAUGAACUCAAAACACAGGGCAUUCUCUGUCUGUCGGGCAUUUUUCUGGACAGACAGACCUAGGUCUGAAAACUAGUCCUGCCACUUCCUAGCUGGUGACCUUUGUGUAAAUUUCUUAAUCGCUCUGAAAAAAUGGGGAUGAUGAUACUUAUCUUUAAGGUAUGUUUUGAGGAGCAGAUUAGAUAAAUAUAGAUUAUACAUAUUAAGUACUUAGUGCCCGCCAUCAAAGGCAAUUAACAUUAUCAUUAAUUAUAUUGUUAUUACGAAUGACUAAUAACCCACUCAGGAUUAUUGCUAAUGCUGCUGUGAGCGUAAGUGUAAAAAAAAAAAAAAGACUCAAUUAAAAAUUUUUACUGAGGGAAAUAGUUUUAUAAUGGGUAAAUAAAGGAAGAAGAAUAACACAUGAUUUCAUUUAAUGUUCAAACAGUUUCACGAGGCAGGGUUAUUAUCCCCAUUCUACAGAAGAAGCAGUUGAGGUCUCUGGAGGUUAAGUAACUUGCCCAUGUCGCACACUGAGUUAGUGGCUGGUGUCCUGGCCCUUGUGGUAUCCGCUAAGACCCUCCGCUUCAUAUCUGCCUGCCUCAGCUGAGAUGCUUCCAUGUGCCAGGAAUGCCUUCGCGUUGCCCAUGCCCUCAUCAGCUUAGAGGACAACAAGCCAGCUCUGAAAACUGGCUAGAGGCAACCUCCUCCAGGCAGCUUUCCGAAUUCUCUCCUUCCUCUCCUUGCAGAACUAAACCCUCCCUCUUUUGUUCUCCUUGUGCCUGAGACACGUGACUAGACACUCUUGUGGCUUUGUGUCUCUUCUCCAGGGAAUGUGUUCCUCUAAGGAAGACAGCACACAUUUUUUUUCACUUUGAGGGGGUCAGUAUGUGGUUAUAGUUAAGGAGCUGGGCAUUGAAGCAGGACUGCCCAGGCUCCCAUCUUGGCUUUACUGCUUGCUGGCUGUGAGGCUUGAAUAAAUGAUUUAACCUCUCUCAUUUUCAAUUCUUUUAUCCAUAAAAUGGAGAUUAACAAUGAGAUCAGCUGCAUGAGGUUACUGUAAGAAUUGAAUGAGUUCGUAUAUGUAAGGAAGGCAGGAUCACUGAAGGUCCUGAAUUUUGCUUGCUAACAGAAAAUGAAACAAAAAGAAUGGUACUGAACGUGCGGGAAGCAUGAGGUCUCAAGAAUCCAUCUGUAACUUAAGGCAUUGGGCCUCCUCACCAGGGAUCGCACUGCAUUCUGGGUAUCGCCUCACACCAGACCUGGACACGACCUCUAUCACUGAAGAGAAAAGCAACCAUGAUAUCCUGGCAUCUACAAAAGACGUCCAUUCAUGCAAACAUUCCCCACCUCAUCUGAUACAUAUUAUGAAGUGCUAUGCAUUAGAUCCUGUGCUCGGCACAGACAUGCACAUUCUUAUAAACUGUCUGUGGAAUCUGAGUUCAAACCUCAGCUUCUUUCAGUCCUAUUGAUUUGAUCUUGUGUGUGUUAGCCUCUGUUCCUCAGAUCCAGUUCCUUCUUUCUAAUUCCCUAUCUCAGCCAUGACAUCACCAUCAUCUUCCUGUCCCCGUUCAGAACCCUAGAAAUGAUUUUAUUCUCCUCACUAACCCUCUCUGUAAUGUCCAAUCAACCCCCAGUGAUGCGUGAUUUAACUCCUACAUAUCUCUUUGUCAUUGGCCUCAUCUCUAAUCCGUUCCACAGGUAUUCUUUGAGGAGUCUAUGUCCCAGGCUCUCUGCUGGACAUGAGGUUACCUGUCCCCAAUGAGUUCUCAGACUGGUCCGGUACACCCACAAACACAUAAUUCCCCUACAGUGAAUGGGUGUGAUGACACUAUAACCCCACUUUUAACUGCACACUUAAUCAUUGCCAAACACUGUUCU